UUCUCUUGUUUUUUCUCCACCACACACGUAUCCCACUCCUAUCUCUAUCCUCCCGUCUUUUUCUUUUUCUACUUGAUUCCAGAUCACUUUCUCCAGUUCUCUCUCUCUCUCUCUCUCUACUUUUUCUUUUUGUACUUGAUUCUAGAACAUUCUCUAGCUCUCUAUGUGAUAAGAAACAAAGAAAGAACAAGCAAGAGAUAUCUUGCUUGCUCCACCGUUGAUCGAAGGACACAGGCAGGCGCAAAAUCGGUGUUCACUGUGUCAAGCCGCGCCUUCCGCUCUGCCGCUGCUCGUCUUCCUCCCCAACGCAACCCAGAUGGGGACAUAAUUGCAAGGAUGGCAGUACAAAAGUUGAAUAACAAAAUGGUGUGUUGGUGGGUUUGGCUUUCAGAAUACUUAUGGCGUGGCAUCCAAAGGUGGAUUAGGGGAUCCAAGUUUAAAUUUGAAUGAGAUCAAGACAACAAUUUGGUUUGUAUUUGAUGGAUAUUAGAUAGCAAAAAAGUGAGAGAAGCUAGGGAUUUCAUCCAAUAAGAACAUUCGGAUCAGCCUAGCAGUAUUUUUAGUCAAAUUUGGUCUAUAAAGCUAUUUUAAUUUACUCAUUUGUAGAUACUCCUACAUCAAACUCAAUACUCUACCUCCAAUUUUAUAUUAAAUAAAUACUUAUUUUAUUCAU